rnacentral:rRNA from 1 species
GACGAACGCUGGCGGCGUGCCUAAUACAUGCAAGUCGAGCGCAGGAAACUGACGGAACUCUUCGGAGGGAAGGCAGUGGAAUGAGCGGCGGACGGGUGAGUAACACGUAAGGAACCUGCCUCAAGGAUUGGGAUAACUCCGAGAAAUCGGAGCUAAUACCGGAUAGUUCAACGGACCGCAUGGUCCGCUGAUGAAAGGCGCUUCGGCGUCACCUUGAGAUGGCCUUGAGGUGAAUUAGCUAGUUGGGGGGGUAACGGCCCACCAAGGCGACGAUGCAUAGGCGACCUGAGAGGGUGAUCGGCCACACUGGGACUGAGACACGGCCCAGACUCCUACGGGAGGCAGCAGUAGGGAAUCUUCCACAAUGGACGAAAGUCUGAUGGAGCAACGCCGCGUGAGUGAUGAAGGUUUUCGGAUCGUAAAACUCUGUUGUAAGGGAAGAACACGUACGAGAGGAAAUGCUCGUACCUUGACGGUACCUUACGAGAAAGCCACGGCUAACUACGUGCCAGCAGCCGCAGUAA